rnacentral:rRNA from 1 species
AGAGCGAACGCUGGCGGCAGGCCUAACACAUGCAAGUCGAGCGCCCAGUAAUGGGAGCGGCAGACGGGAUAGUAACACGUGGGAACGUACCUUUCAGUUCGGAACAACCCAGGGAAACUUGGGCUAAUACCGAAUACGCCCGUAAGGGGAAAGAUUUAUCGCUGAAAGAUCGGCCCGCGUCUGAUUAGCUAGUUGGUGGGGUAAUGGCCCACCAAGGCGACGAUCAGUAGCUGGUCUGAGAGGAUGAUCAGCAUCACUGGGACUGAGACACGGCCCAGACUCCUACGGGAGGCAGCAGUGGGGAAUAUUGGACAAUGGGCGCAAGCCUGAUCCAGCCAUGCCGCGUGGAUGAUGAAGGCCCUAGGGUUGUAAAGUCCUUUCGGCGGGGAAGAUAAUGACGGUACCCGCAGAAGAAGCCCCGGCUAACUUCGUGCCAGCAGCCGC